AUUUUCUCCUCUUGCUUAGAAGUUUCAGGGAGUCACCCAAGCCUUCUUCUCCCAGAUACAACGGUGGAAUAAAAUAUCUUCCAGCCAACAUAUUUUUUGGAGACGGAAUCUCACUCUGUCACCUGGUUGAAGUGCAGCAGCGCGAUCAUGGCUCACUGCAACCUCUGCCUCCCGGUUUCAAGUGAUUCUCCUGCCUCCGCCUCCCGAGUAGCUGGGAUUACAGGCAUGUGCCACCCACCACGCCUGGGUAAUUUUUGUAUUUUUACUAGAGACAGGGUUUCACUAUGUGGGCUGGGCUGGUCUCAAACUCCUGACCUCUGGUGAUCUGCCCACUUCGGCCUCUCAAAGUGCUGGGAUUACAGGCAUGAGCCCCCGCACCCGGUUGCAACCAACUUUUUUGUGGAAUAUAGGAUCUUGAUGUUUGGAUGCCUGAAGGCAGAAGCUGUUGCACAUGGAAUGGAUUAAAGUUUUCCCCUCUGCAACCAAAAAUCCUUGGGGUCCCAGGAGCAAAAGAUGCUCCAUGGCACAGGACAAUUCAAGAAGGCCCGAGGUGAUAUUGAAGACUGCAGAGACAUCCAGCUCAGUUGUGUCUCCGGAGGUGUCCAGACUUUGCAGACAGACGUUGCACAUAAAGAGCUGAAAAACUGAGGAAGCUGAGCUGGAGAAGGAAGUCACUUCUACUCAGACUUGACCUGCGUCUGAUGCUAUGGGGCCUCUUAGGGUUACCUCAUGCUUCAUGCACCCCUUUCUCUGUUCUUCAGCAGAAGGCAGGGUGUAGGGAAGCGGGACUGUGCCUCCUUUCUCCCUGCCAGGCCUGACUCUCCAGGCCAAGAGACACCAUUAAGGAGUAUAAUUUGUUGAUCCAGGCUCUCCUUGCGUUUCAGUGCAGAGUGGCAUCGUUUUCUUUAUGACCUCGUAAAGUCACAGCCGAGAGGCCGAUUUGGAAAACAAACUGCCUCAGGUUGACAGAUAAUUAGAUACAGGGGACAUAUUAUAUGCCUUUGCAUAUAAAUGUGCUCCGAGGCGUGUUGGUUCAUCUGAAGUUGAGGUUAAAGGCGCGCCAGGUAUUCCUGACACAUCAGGAUAUAUAUUUUCAUACAGUCUCAGGUGCUGUGUUGGUUUUAUAGGCCUUUCAUCCUGGUGCUGACGGAUGGGGUGUGAUUGUGACCCAACUUAGAAGAAAGGGACUUCCCUUGCCCAGGGGCCUCCUGGCGUUUUUGUUUUGUGUUCUCCCUCUCCACCCCCACUUUCUCUUCUUCCUUGGGAAGGGAACUGUUCUUUGGACCUAGGAUUCUGCCGUGAGUGACUAAUGGCCUGAGUAGGAGGGACCGGGACUCAUUUUUCUUUUCUGGACUCUAAUAGGCCCAAUUAAUUCAGCUACAACAUGGGCCCUUACAAGCCUGGGACAAGCCUGGGUGGAAUUCUAUAUUGAGGAGUUAAUCCUAAUAAAAAAUGAUUACAGAAGAGGACGCCUCCACCCACAGGAAGGAGCCAGCACGGUGGGGAGCUGUUUCACCAGGGGAGUGUUCUCAGCAGCUGCCACACGUGGAGUUGUGGAGGUAGCAAGCAGAGUUGGGGGAGGAGGGGGAGCCCUGGUUCCUGCUCUUCCAUGAUCAGUGUGCAGCCUUGAGCAUGGCACUCCCUCUCUUCCCAGCUUAGUGUCCUCAUCCGUAAAAUGAGGGGCUCUCUGAGAGUCUGCCAGGGCCGCUGUCUGAUCUGUGACAGCGUGGCAUGUGGUGUGGUAUGUAAUGCACGUUCCUGCCUGCAGGGAGGCCCUCUCCCUUCCCCCACCAGGCUUCUGGGCAGCACUUGCUGUCAUCCUUGCUUCUGGAACAGGACUGUGCUGUUUUCCAGGCCAAAUUGGAGGGCUGAGGGGGUCUAUUAAGAAGACUCUGGGGAGAUGGUGGAACAAUUCUGUGCUUGAAAUUACCUUCCUCUUUAAAUCUUGCCAUGGCCCUAUUAGAAAAGCUAAGGGGGCAGGAGGAGAGGAGCGGGCAGGGAGAGGAGAGAGAGAGAGAAGAAGGAAGAAGGAAAGGGAAAGGUAAGAAACCCCAUAGCCCGACCCUCAGCCCUGUUGAAGGAGAUUAUAUAAAUAGAGUCGCUGUCACUUUGAUGAAUUAAAUCCUCCGUUAAUUAGGACGCAUCCAUUUAAGGGUUGUCCAGCCAGAUAGUCCUUUUCCCUUCCCAGCAAGUCAUAGCUCAGGGAGGAGGCAUGAGAGGGAUCGUUUUCUGUUUCUGGCUUGAUUGCUGGUUUCUUUCUUACUAGGCUUCAUUAAUUAUCCUGGAAUGUGGUCACCCAGUUUUCUUCAACAUGGGCCAUUCUCCUUUUAGCAGGAUCUUGGCAGUGGACUGCCACGGGAGCUCUGGGGAAAAAGGACCAGUUGGACUCCAGUACCUCCUGAGAGACCACCACCCUCCAUGCCUCCAGCUCAUGCCCAGCUCUGAGUCAGACGGACUCUUCCUGUUGUACUGCGAGGUUCUGCAAACCUUGAAGGGCAAACACAGUGAGGGUCUCUGACUUGCUGUGUGGACAGCCCACUCUCUGACAGCCCAGAUCAUCUGAAGCUAUCCCUGGGCUGGGAGCUGGAAGCCAUUCUUGUGAACCACUCCUUAUACCUUGAGCGAAGCCUCUUUGGGUCCCAGAAGUCUGAAGCUCCAGCUGCCUGGCAAGACUGAGUCUAGAUGAUUUCUUGGGUACCAGUAGUUUGGCAUUUAAAAAUACUGGAUUAACUGCAGUGUAAACUUAGAUUGCAUUUCAGAUUGUAAACAAUAACCCCCGUGCUUCAUGUGAUGUUAAAUCAGAAAUGAGCUAUUAGCCAAGCUAGUCCUCUUAUGAAUGAGCCCCUAACCCUGAUCCAGGGAUCGUUGAAUGAAAAUCAUCAAAAUGAUUUAUCUUCACUUUACCUAUUGUCUCACAAGAAUCUCAUCACUCAGGGAAAAGGAGGGUGUUCUUCAGGGAACGGAGGGCAUGAGGAAGGGGGAUUUCCUUAUAUCUCAACUUUCAGAGGGAGCUGAGUUGUAAACAGAUGGAACAAGGUGUGUACGAGAAGCCUCUUAGAUUUAGUCUUUCAUAUCAAGGCUCUUGCUGAAAAUCCUGGCACAGCUGUGAAAUGAGGGGAGCUCUGACACACAGAGACACGCUCCUUGCCUCACCAACCUUCCCAUACACAGUCAUGCGCACAGAGAGCAGGUACCAAUACUGAAAAUGCCCUUCCGGAGUUUCCUCAGCUUAAACCCUUGACAGCAUUAAGUGAGGAAGGAGUUUCCUUGACCUGGGGAAGAAGAACCAACUCAUAAACAUGGAACUGUGCCCACUGCCUUUUCCUUUGCUCUGUGGAUUGGCUGUGGUUCUGCCCUGGCACUCGGAUGUCAAGUUGCUCUGGCUGUUUGGGAGGAAGCCCAGCCUGGGUCAGGUGGUCAUAAGCCAGAGGCCCUGUCCUGUCCCCAGGGUUGGCCUCCCUCUGGGGUCCAGCAUGGCCCCAGUGCUGAGGCUCCCACUGCUGGGGAAUGUGCCCUCUCCUCUCUUUGUUUCCAUACCAAGGGGAUCUGCAGGGUAGAGGGCAAAUUAUUCUUAGCAGAUUGGGGCUAUGGGUAAACCAGAAGGGAUGAGGGAGAGAGGAGAGAGGAGAGGAAAGGGAAGGAGAGGGGAGGGCAGGGGAUAGGUAGAGGAGAGAGACAGCAAGAAAAAAUAG
rnacentral:lncRNA from 10 species